AGAGUUUGAUCCUGGCUCAGAUCGAACGCUGGCGGCAUGCCUUACACAUGCAAGUCGAACGGCAGCACGGGAGCAAUCCUGGUGGCGAGUGGCGAACGGGUGAGUAAUGUAUCGGAACGUACCUUUCAGUGGGGGAUAACGUAGCGAAAGUUACGCUAAUACCGCAUAUUCUGUGAGCAGGAAAGCAGGGGAUCGCAAGACCUUGCGCUGAUUGAGCGGCCGAUAUCAGAUUAGCUAGUUGGUGAGGUAAAGGCUCACCAAGGCGACGAUCUGUAGCGGGUCUGAGAGGAUGAUCCGCCACACUGGAACUGAGACACGGUCCAGACUCCUACGGGAGGCAGCAGUGGGGAAUUUUGGACAAUGGGGGCAACCCUGAUCCAGCCAUGCCGCGUGAGUGAAGAAGGCCUUCGGGUUGUAAAGCUCUUUCAGCCGGGAAGAAAUCACAUGGGUUAAUACCCUGUGUGGAUGACGGUACCGGAAUAAGAAGCACCGGCUAACUACGUGCCAGCAGCCGCGGUAAUACGUAGGGUGCGAGCGUUAAUCGGAAUUACUGGGCGUAAAGCGUGCGCAGGCGGUUUGUUAAGAUAGGCGUGAAAUCCCCGGGCUCAACCUGGGAACUGCGUUUAUGACUGGCAGGCUAGAGUAUGGCAGAAGGGGGGUGGAAUUCCACGUGUAGCANUGAAAUGCGUANAGAUGUGGAGGAACACCGAUGGCGAAGGCAGCCCCCUGGGCCAAUACUGACCUCAUGCACCAAAGCGUGGGUAGCAAACANGAUUAGAUACCCUGUAGUCCACGCCCUAAA
rnacentral:rRNA from 1 species